rnacentral:rRNA from 1 species
UACGUAGGGACCAAGCGUUGUUCGGAUUUACUGGGCGUAAAGGGUGCGCAGGCGGCCGGGUGUGUCAGAUGUGAAAUCCCGAGGCUCAACCUCGGAACUGCGUCUGAAACUACUCGGCUAGAGUACUGGAGAGGGUAACGGAAUUCACGGUGUAGCAGUGAAAUGCGUAGAUAUCGUGAGGAACACCAGAGGCGAAGGCGGUUACCUGGACAGUUACUGACGCUCAGGCACGAAAGCAUGGGGAGCAAAAGGG